rnacentral:rRNA from 1 species
CUGGGAAACUGCCUGAUGGAGGGGGAUAACUACUGGAAACGGUAGCUAAUACCGCAUAAUGUCGCAAGACCAAAGUGGGGGACCUUCGGGCCUCAUGCCAUCAGAUGUGCCCAGAUGGGAUUAGCUAGUAGGUGGGGUAACGGCUCACCUAGGCGACGAUCCCUAGCUGGUCUGAGAGGAUGACCAGCCACACUGGAACUGAGACACGGUCCAGACUCCUACGGGAGGCAGCAGUGGGGAAUAU